rnacentral:rRNA from 1 species
UAAUACGGAGGGUGCAAGCGUUAUCCGGAUUUACUGGGUUUAAAGGGUGCGUAGGUGGGUUUGUAAGUCAGUGGUGAAAUCUCCGAGCUUAACUCGGAAACUGCCAUUGAUACUAUAGAUCUUGAAUUAUCUGGAGGUAAGCGGAAUAUGUCAUGUAGCGGUGAAAUGCUUAGAUAUGACAUAGAACACCAAUUGCGAAGGCAGCUUACUACGGAUAUAUUGACACUGAGGCACGAAAGCGUGGGGAUCAAACAGG